rnacentral:ncRNA from 1 species
UUCUAUAAGUGCAAAAUCAGGGCAACUUGAUGACGCAAAGCUACGGCUUCUGAUACAGGGUCGCCGGGGUGUCAGGG